GAGAAAAGUAGCAUAAUUAGAGUAGGUAGUUGGAAGUGACCUGAAUGCCCACAGCAGUCCUUUCUCUUGAAUCAGGGCCAGCAAUGGUGUCACCCAGACGCUGUUGACUAACUAACGUACAACAGAUUUACUUAACCACUGGCAAACCACAUUUCCUUUUCCAGGGCAAUAACUUAAAAGAUUAUUUAUCUCCCUUUGUUGCAAAGAGAGGAAAUACUUCUUCCUGGACUCAGGGCAGCUGUGACCCGUCCUCCCAGAGAAAUCAUUAAACCACAAGGAUUCAGACAGAGCCGAGAGCCCUGAAAACUUUGGCCACGCGCUUCCUUCCCCUCAGCAGCCACAGGCACCAGCAACUCCAGAGAGAUACCAGUGGAAGGAGGAACGAAGCGGUUUAGAACACCAUUCUCCAUUUCAUUCUGGUGGGACAAUAGCUUCUCUCAUCCCAGAAAAUUAACUGAAUGCAGCUGCCAGAGGCUGAAUAAGAGUUGGCAAUUUGGUCUGGCAAUUUGGUUCUCAUAAAGUCAUCUUGCAGUGACUUUAACAGCAGAGUCAGAACCAGCCCGAGGAACAGAACAGACCCUGGCAAGUGUGGACCUCUGACACAUUACUAAAAUAUAGGUAGGAUAAAAACUGAAAUUAAACUGUUCUUAUAAACUGGCUGUUCCACUGGUCCUGGAGGCGGAGGUGAGAAGAGGGGAGUGGUGAGGGAGAGUCUAAGAAAGAACUGAAGUCGCUUUCUUUUCCAUGCAUCAUCAGCAUUCUGGGCUUCCUCCUAUCAAGUCACCCUCCUCUGCAGGGAAGAAUGGUUUAUUUUGUGUUUUGUUUUCUUUUUUCAUCAGCCAAAGGUGCAGCUCUAGAAAAGGAACAUAGAGUUAUUCUCUAAAUUCAGCAUCACUCUCUCCUAGUUUAAGCACUAUUUAUUUAUUUAUAUUUUAUUUACUUAUUUAUUUACUUAUUUUUUGAGAUGCAGUCUUUUUCUGUCACCCAGGCUGAAGUGCAGAAGCAUGAUCUUGGCUCACUGCAACCUCCACCUCCAGGGUUCCAGCGAUUCUCCUGCCUCAGCCUCCAAGUAGCUGGGCUUACAGGCAUGCACCACCACACCCGGCUAAUUUUUGUGUUUUUAGUAGAGACAGGGUUUCACUAUGUUUUCCAAGCUCAUCUCAAACUCUUGAGCUCAAGUGAUCCACCCACCUCAGCCUCCUGAAGUUCUGGGAUUACAGCUGUGAGCCACCGUGACUGGCCUGGUUUAAGCACUCCUGAAGAAGGAUUCUUGUGCCUCAAAUGCCUGGUGGUUAAGAACAUAAGCAUUUACCAAUUUGGAUAAGAAUGCUAACCAUGCCACUGAAUAAUUUUUGUUUUUGUUUUGUUUUGUUUUUUUUGAGAUGGAGUUUUGUUCUUGUUGCCCAGGCUGGAGUGCAGUGGCAUGAUCUCAGCUCACUGCAACCUCUGCCUCCUGGAUUCAAGCAAUUCCCUGCCUCAGCCUCCUGAGUAGCUGGGAUUACGAACAUGUGCCACCAUGCCCAGCUAAUUUUGUGUUUUUAGUAGAGACGGGAUUUCUCCAUGUUGGUCAGUCUGGUCUUGAACUCCUGACCUCAGGUGAUCCACCUGCCUCGGCCUCCCAAAGUGCAAGCCACUGCUCCUGGCCUCUAAAGAGUUUUUGUAAAUUCUUUAAUUUUUUUUAUCUUCAGCUUCCUAAUCUGUAAAUAGAGAAUAAGAGCUCAAAAAUGAGAUCCAUUAUCAUAGUCUUACCCUUGAAGGAUGAUGUGAAAAGCCCCCUUAGUGCAUGAGUCAAGUGCCUUCUGGAGUGUCCCCAGCCAGCAGCAUCCAGGCUGUGAUCAAACGCCCUUACUGCCCACCCAAAGCAAUCCACUCUGCUUGCUUGCUUUGUUGGUUGGUAGGCUUGUAACUUUCUUGAUAUUAAACAGAUGUAAGUUCUUGUUUCUCCUAAGCCAAAAUUUUCUUGAUUAUUAUGCCAACAUUUUUUCCCUAGCAUCUUCAAGUAUCUGAAGAUAGUCAUCAAACUCCUUAAGUCUUCCUUUCUCACUGGUUCCUUAAGAAUUCCAAUAAAUACGUGAUUUCAAGUCCCCUCCA
rnacentral:lncRNA from 13 species